AUGAAUUUCUUGCAUAGUCCUAAACACAGGUUCCUCUCACCCUUUACCCUCUUCAUCCAACGCCGAUGGAAGAAACCCACCGUUUCCGCCCAAACCCGUUUGGAGGACAGAGUACGAGACCCCCACUUCGACAAACUCAUGGCUCACCUCAAAAGACUCUACCUUGUCCUCGAAAUCCACCACCUCAUGUCCACACGCAAGCGCGCUCCCUUCGUCUCCCUCACCCUCAUGUCCCGCUGGAGAAACAUCCUCGAACUCAAUGUCCCUGUGGGCUCCUUCCUCCACAAAUACCCUCAUGUGUUCCACGUGUUCGUCCAUCCUUUCAGGAGGAACACGUGCUGCAGGGUCACGAAAAAGAUGAAAGAGUUGAUCUUGCUUGAAGGGGUGGUGGUGAGGCUGCAGGAGAUGGAGGCUGUGAAGAGGGUGAAGAAGCUGCUGAUGAUGUCUGUGAAUGGCACUCUUCGUUUGCACGCUUUGAGGAUGAUCAGGAGGGAACUGGGUCUCCCUGAGGAUUUCAGAGACUCCAUCCUUGGGAAAUUCAGUGGGGAUUUUAAAUUGGUUGGUUUGGAGGUUGUGGAAUUGGUUGACUGGGAUGCAGAAUUGGGAUUGGCUGAGGUUGAGAAAUGGAGGGAGAGAGAGUACACAGAGAAGUGGUUGAGUGAGUUUGAGACCAAGUUUGCAUUUCCCAUUGGUUUCCCAACUGGGUUUAAGAUUGAGAGAGGGUUUAGAGAGAGGUUGAAGAAUUGGCAGAGGCUUUCAUACACUAAGCCUUAUGAACGGAAGGAGGUUGUUAGGGUGAGGACAUGUGGUGGGAUUGAACGGUAUGAGAAGAGGGUUGUGGCUGUUCUUCAUGAGCUAUUGAGCUUGACUGUGGAGAAAAUGGUUGAGGUUGAUCAACUGGUUCAUUUUCGUAGAGACUUAGCAUGCAAUAGAUCAAGUGCAGUCACUGGACUUGAAGAGGACAUUAGUCUUUACUUUUCUCGGUUUUGCUUUAAUGGGUCCAACAUUAUAUUUUUGGAAAUUUUCUGCCAUGGUCACAUGAGUUUGGAUGAAGGCUGAACGAUUUGUCAAGUCUGUCUCAUUCCAUUGCUCUUCCUGACAUUUUUUUUAGGUAUUUGUAUCUUGAGUAAAUUGGUGAGCAUCAGGUACAUUUUUCCGGCUUGUACUAGGAUAUUUCUAUUGGUCCUCCAAUACACUCCCUGUCGCCACAUUGUGUCAUUAUUAAUUAAUUUUGUGCUUCUGUGUGAUAGUUUAGUUUUGAAUGUUAUGAAAUAUUUUCAUAGUUCUUAUUUUCUCCCAUAUUCAUUGGAGAUUUUUUUACCUACAUUGGUGACACUUGAGGGAAAUCCAUCACAAGCUGUAAUGUACCCAAGCUAAAACAGGAGUGGUUCUCUACAGUUCAAGCAAACUGGAAGUUGUGGAUACCUUUUCAAUUUCUCAACACAACAAUUUCAGGUCCUUGCUGCUAAUGUUAUUGCUUUGGCUUGGAUGUCAUUCUCUCAUUUAAGGCACACAAAGAGGUUCUUCCAAAAUAGCUGAUGCGGCGUUGCCCACCAUGAUCUUGUUGGCGAAGGAGAGCUCCAACGAAAACUCACUCACAGUGAUCCUGCCGUGAUGCAAUCGCUGCCCACCGUUGUCGUCGAAAGAGCUCCAACGAAAACCCACGGUGACUCUGCCCUAGCCCUACCGUGACGCGCGACUGCUGCCACCGUGACUCUGUUGACAAAGGAGAGUUCCAACGACCCUUGUCGUUGUUGCUGUAUACUGUCGAGGGGCUUGUCUUGUUCACUGUCAUACCGACCGUCGAGGUAAGUAGUGAUUCGAUUAUUAUGUUCGAGCUUUCUCUCUUUGCCUCUCCCUCUCUGUGUUGUCUCUACCUCUCUGUCAUGUCUCUGCCUCUAUGUGCUGCUGCCUUACUCUGUACUUUCCUUAAACUUAUGUUUUAUGAAAUUUUAAUGUUGUGGGGUU